UGUUUCUGAUUUCAAACAUGUAUGCUGGGUCCAUUGUUGAGUAACCAGCAACAGCAUCUACCUCUGUCCAGCUUCGGAACAACGACUCAGUAGUGUGCAGAGUUAUAAAUCCUGAUCUCUGCACUACUAAUGUGCAUUUCCUCUCCAAUCUAAGAGGUAAUUUGAUCUAUUGGUGUUUUUAUGCAUCUAGUCCCUUACAGGCACAGGGCAAGAAAAUAUUUAACCAGAAAGUUCUGUAGUUAGAGUUGUGACCACAAGAUGGCGGUGCACCCCGGCUGAUGCAGAACAUGUGCAGGGUUCAUUUCAGUGGAUUCUGAAUGAAUAGGCUUAGGGCAGAAGCAGAGCCUUUUUCUUAUUGGCUGGGUAGACAAUGUGAGAAACCACUGGUUGUUAGAGAAAAGAAGGGAUCACUUGGUAAUAGAAGUAGCUCUUCUGGCUGGAGUUUGCAGUUUGCAAUUGAUCCCAAAUGGGAAGAAUAAUGAAGACACCUAUCGGAGCUUUAAUCAUGUUCUUGUGGCUGCAGCUGGACUGUGUGAGCCGAGGAGAGAAUGUGGAGCAGAGUCCUCCCAGCCUGAGUGUCCAGGAGGGAAACAGCUCUGUUAUCACCUGCACCUACACAGACAGUAAUUCAGAGUACUUCCCUUGGUAUAAGCAAGAACCUGGCAAAGGUCUCCGGUUCCUUAUAAGCAUUCGUUCAAAUAAGGUCAAAGAGGAAGACCAAGGACUCACUGUUUUAUUGAAUAAGACGGCCAAACAUCUGUCCCUGCACAUCACAGCCGCCCAGCCUGGAGACGCAGCUGUCUACUUCUGUGCAGCAAGUGCACAUUGCUUCCCAGGCACCUGCUAGCUGUACUCAAACCUGCUA